GAUAGUGAACCAGUACCGUGAGGGAAAGGCGAAAAGAACCCCGGCGAGGGGAGUGAAAAAGAACCUGAAACCGUGUACGUACAAGCAGUGGGAGCCCCACCACUAAGCCAGUGGUGAACUCCACAUCCGCAUCCUUUGCUGAGGAUACGGUUAACGGAGCGAAAGCGACGUUCAACCGCAAAACAAGCAGAGGGGGCUUAGUGGUGGGGUGACUGCGUACCUUUUGUAUAAUGGGUCAGCGACUUAUAUUCUGUAGCAAGGUUAACCGAAUAGGGGAGC
rnacentral:rRNA from 1 species